rnacentral:rRNA from 1 species
GACAGAGGUGCCGAGCGUUAGGCGGAAUUACUGGGCGUAAAGCGCGCGUAGGCGGACCUGCAAGUCGGGGGUGAAAGCCCGAGGCUCAACCUCGGAACUGCCUUCGAUACUGCGGGUCUCGAGUCCGGGAGAGGUGAGUGGAAUUCCUAGUGUAGAGGUGAAAUUCGUAGAUAUUAGGAAGAACACCAGUGGCGAAGGCGGCUCACUGGCCCGGUACUGACGCUGAGGCGCGGAAGCGUGGGGAGCAAACAGG